GCCGGGGUGGCGGAACUGGUAGACGCGCCGGACUCAAAAUCCGGUUCUGGAAACAGAGUGGGGGUUCGAUUCCCCCCCCCGGCACCA
rnacentral:tRNA from 1 species